rnacentral:rRNA from 2 species
AGGAUAGGUAGGGGCCAUAGAAACCGGAACGCUAGUUUCGGUGGAGGCGUUGGUGGGAUACUACCCUCGCUGUAUGACCACUCUAACCCGCACCACUAAUCGUGGUGGGAGACAGUGUCAGGUGGGCAGUUUGACUGGGGCGGUCGCCUCCUAAAAAGUAACGGAGGCGCCCAAAGGUUCCCUCAGAAUGGUUGGAAAUCAUUCGCAGAGUGUAAAGGCACAAGGGAGCUUGACUGCGAGACAGACAGGUCGAGCAGGGACGAAAGUCGGGCUUAGUGAUCCGGUGGUACCGUAUGGAAGGACCAUCGCUCAACGGAUAAAAGCUACCCUGGGGAUAACAGGCUUAUCUCCCCCAAGAGUCCACAUCGACGGGGAGGUUUGGCACCUCGAUGUCGGCUCAUCGCAUCCUGGGGCUGUAGUCGGUCCCAAGGGUUGGGCUGUUCGCCCAUUAAAGCGGUACGCGAGCUGGGUUCAGAACGUCGUGAGACAGUUCGGUCCCUAUCCGUCGCGGGCGUAGGAAAUUUGAGAGGACCUGUCCUUAGUACGAGAGGACCGGGAUGGACAUACCUCUGGUGUACCAGUUGUGUCGCCAGGCGCAUCGCUGGGUAGCUACGUAUGGAUGUGAUAAACGCUGAAAGCAUCUAAGUGUGAAACACACCUCGAGAUGAGAUUUCCCAUUCCUUUAUGGAAGUAAGACCCCUGAAAGAUGAUCAGGUAGAUAGGUUAGAAGUGGCAGUGCGGUGACGCAUGAAGCGGACUAAUACUAAUCGGUCGAGGACUUAACCAAG